UUGGAAGUAAAAGUCGUAACAAGGUCUCCGUUGGUGAACCAGCGNNGGGAUCAUUACCGAGUUUACAACUCCCAAACCCAAUGUGAACGUUACCAAACUGUUGCCUCGGCGGGAUCUCUGCCCCGGGUGCGUCGCAGCCCCGGACCAAGGCGCCCGCCGGAGGACCAACCUAAAACUCUUAUUGUAUACCCCCUCGCGGGUUUUUUUAUAAUCUGAGCCUUCUCGGCGCCUCUCGUAGGCGUUUCGAAAAUGAAUCAAAACUUUCAACAACGGAUCUCUUGGUUCUGGCAUCGAUGAAGAACGCAGCGAAAUGCGAUAAGUAAUGUGAAUUGCAGAAUUCAGUGAAUCAUCGAAUCUUUGAACGCACAUUGCGCCCGCCAGUAUUCUGGCGGGCAUGCCUGUCCGAGCGUCAUUUCAACCCUCGAACCCCUCCGGGGGGUCGGCGUUGGGGAUCGGCCCUCCCUUAGCGGGUGGCCGUCUCCGAAAUACAGUGGCGGUCUCGCCGCAGCCUCUCCUGCGCAGUAGUUUGCACACUCGCAUCGGGAGCGCGGCGCGUCCACAGCCGUUAAACACCCAACUUCUGAAAUGUUGACCUCGGAUCAGGUAGGAAUACCCGCUGAACUUNNNCAUAUCAAUAAGCGGGA
rnacentral:rRNA from 1 species